AGUGAACGCUGGCGGUAGGCCUAACACAUGCAAGUCGAACGGCAGCACAGUAAGAGCUUGCUCUUACGGGUGGCGAGUGGCGGACGGGUGAGGAAUACAUCGGAAUCUACUUUUUCGUGGGGGAUAACGUAGGGAAACUUACGCUAAUACCGCAUACGACCUACGGGUGAAAGCAGGGGAUCUUCGGACCUUGCGCGAUUGAAUGAGCCGAUGUCGGAUUAGCUAGUUGGCGGGGUAAAGGCCCACCAAGGCGACGAUCCGUAGCUGGUCUGAGAGGAUGAUCAGCCACAAUGGAAGUGAGACACGGUCCAGACUCCUACGGGGGGCAGCAGUGGGGAAUAUUGGACAAUGGGGGCAAGCCUGAUCCAGCCAUAACGCGUGGGUGAAGAAGGCCUUCGGGUUGUAAAGCCCUUUUGUUGGGAAAGAAAAUCAGCAGGUUAAUACCCCGCUGUUCUGACGGUACCCAAAGAAUAAGCACCGGCUAACUUCGU
rnacentral:rRNA from 1 species